AUACGGAGGGUGCAAGCGUUAUUCGGAAUCACUGGGCGUAAAGGGUGCGUAGGCGGUUUGAUAAAUCUGAUGUGAAAUCCUAUGGCUCAACCAUAGAACUGCAUUGGAAACAGUCAGACUAGAAUACUGAAGGGGCAGAUGGAAUUAGUGGUGUAGGGGUAAAAUCCGUAGAUAUCACUAGGAAUACCGAAAGCGAAGGCGAUCUGCUGGGAAGUUAUUGACGCUGAGGCACGAAAGCGUGGGGAGCAAACGGGAUUAGAAACCCUAGUAGUCC
rnacentral:rRNA from 1 species